rnacentral:misc_RNA from 1 species
AAGUCGUAACAAGGUUUCCGUAGGUGAACCUGCGGAAGGAUCAUUAAUGAAAUGAUAAUUUUUUGGGGUUUUCCCUGAAAAAUAAUUCACCUUUUGUGCACUGUUAUAAGAUAUACUUUGGUUAGUGCUUUGAUUUCAUUUUUUUUGAAAUCAACUUCUUGCUGACUCUAUCCUUCUGAGGACAGUUGGCUAUGAAGCGGCCUACCAAGGUUUUUUAUCAAACACUUAUAUUUUUGUCUGACCUAAAUUAUUAUAAUAAAAUCAUAACUUUCAACAACGGAUCUCUUGGCUCUC